rnacentral:rRNA from 1 species
AAUAUUGCGCAAUGGGGGGAACCCUGACGCAGCAACGCCGCGUGAGUGACGAAGGNUUNNGGAUCNUNAAGCUCUGUCAUCAGNNNNNAAAAAUGACGGAACAUGAGGAGGAAACCCCGGCUAACUACGUGCCAGCAGCCGCGGUAAUACGUAGGGGGCGAGCGUUGUCCGGAAUUAUUGGGCGUAAAGGGUGCGUAGGCGGCCUUAUAAGUCAGAUGUGAAAUACCAGGGCUUAACUCUGGGGGUGCAUUUGAAACUAUUUGGCUUGAGUGCAGGAGAGGAAAGUGGAAUUCCUAGUGUAGCGGUGAAAUGCGUAGAGAUUAGGAGGAACACCAGUGGCGAAGGCGACUUUCUGGACUGUAACUGACGCUGAUGCACGAAAGCGUGGGUAGCGAACA